ACAACUUCCCACCUCCCAGCACAGUCACCCUCAUGGGAGAUGAUGAGGCUAGCAUCAGGAUAGACUGCAGGAAGGGGACAGUCUUCAGGAGGUGCUUGGUUCUGACUUCCCUGGGUUGAAUAUUGUCCUCCACAUUCAUGAACCUGAAAAUACGACUUUAUUUGGAAUGAGUGGUGGCAAGGCACUUUGAUCUGCCUUGCGUGGCGAGAGCGGCUUGGGCCCGGCUAUCCGACUGCCAAGUGUGAAAUCAGCCUGAUGUCAUCCCCAUUCUCCAUCUUUUACAUCUUUCACCAGUUUAAUUAUAUUUCCGCCACAAAGCUUCAGCACCUCAUUGCAUAUUCAAGUUUGACCAGGAAGCAUUUCUUUAAAAAGCAACCACACAGAUGCCGUGCUGGUCAGCAGAAGCAAGCAAAAUGUGGGUGCCUGGAGGACGGAGGCACCUGCGCUGGGAGGAUGCACCUGCGCUGGGAGGAUGCACCUGCGCUGGGAGGAUGCACCUGCGCUGGGAGGAUGCACUUGCGCUGGGAGGAUGCAGCAGCUGCGAGCAAACCUAGGGAGGAGGGUUAGCUGGUGAGCCUCCCGCGUGCUGAGCCUAUUCAGGACCAAGCCUUUGUGCUCAUUAGCUCACAAAAAGCCCUUGCAGGAAACUCAUUAGGUAGAUGUUCUUUCUGUUUGGAAAAGAAUGACUCCACUCCAGGGGAGUCUAUAACACACCAGCUCAGAAA